AUGUUUCCCAACCCCUGCUACCUAGAGCUUAUAUCUCUAGCUCCUCUAACUAGAUUAAUCAGAAGGCACAUCAACAUUGUCGUCAUUGGACACGUCGACUCCGGCAAGUCCACCACCACCGGACAUCUGAUCUACAAAUGUGGUGGCAUCGACAAGAGAACCAUUGAGAAGUUUGAGAAGGAGGCUGCCGAGAUGGGAAAGGGCUCCUUCAAGUACGCCUGGGUCUUGGAUAAACUGAAGGCUGAGCAGGAACGCAGUAUCACCAUUGACAUCUCCCUGUGGAAAUUUGAGACCAGCAAGUAUUAUGUGACCAUCAUUGAUGCCCCAGGACACAGGGAUUUCAUCAAGAACAUGAUUACAGGCACAUCUCAGGCUGAUUGUGCUAUCCUCAUUGUUGCUGCUGGCGUCGGUGAAUUUGAAGCUGGUAUCUCCAAGAAUGGGCAGACCCGUGAGCAUGCCCUUCUGGCUUACACAAUGGGUGUGAAACAGCUCAUUGUUAGUGUUAACAAAAUGGAUUCCACGGAGCCACCCUACAGACAGAAGAGAUACGAGGAAAUCGUUAAGGAAGUCAGCACCUACAUUAAGAAGAUUGGCUAUAAUCCUGACACAGUGGCAUUUGUGCCAAUUUCUGGUUGGAAUGGUGACAACAUGCUGGAGCCAAGUGCCAAUAUGCCUUGGUUCAAGGGAUGGAAAGUCACAUGUAAAGAUGGCAGUGCCAGUGGAACCACCUUGCUCAAGGCUUUGGACUGCAUCCUGCCACCAACCCGUCCCACUGACGCCUGUCCCUUCAGGAUGUCUACAAAAUUGGUGGUAUUGGUACCGUCCCUGUGGGCCGAGUGGAAACUGGUGUUCUCAAGCCUGGCAUGGUGGUUACCUUUGCUCCUGUCAAUGUCACCACUGAAGUGAAGUCUGUUGAAAUGCAUCACGAAGCUUUGAGUGAAGCUCUUCCUGGGGACAAUGUGGGAUUCAAUGUCAAGAACGUGUCAGUCAAAGAUGUUUGCCGAGGCAAUGUGGCUGGGGAUAGCAAGAACGAUCCACCCGUGGAAGCAGCUGGCUUCACAGCUCAGGUGAUCAUCCUGAACCAUCCAGGCCAAAUUAGUGCUGGCUAUGCCCCUGUGCUGGAUUGUCACACUGCUCACAUUGCCUGCAAGUUUGCUGAGCUGAAAGAGAAGAUUGAUCGCCGUUCUGGUAAGAAGCUGGAAGAUGGCCCUAAAUUCCUGAAGUCUGGUGAUGCUGCUAUCGUUGAUAUGUUUCUAGGCAAGCCCAUAUGUGUGGAGAGCUUCUCUGACUAUCUUCCUCUGGGUCAUUUUGCUGUUCGUGACAUGCGGCAGACAGUUGCUGUGAGUGUCAUCAAAGCCGUGGACAAGAAGGCUGUUGGAGCUGACAAGGUCACCAAGUCUGCCCAGAAAGCUCAGAAGGCUAAAUGAAUAUUACCCCCAACACCUGCAACUUCAGUCUUAACCAGUGGUGGAAGAACGGUCUCAGAACUGUUUAUCUCAAUUGGCCAUUUAAGUUUAAUAGUAAAAGACUGGUUAAUGAUAACAAUGCAUCGUAAAACCUUCAGAAGGAAAGGAAAAUGUUUUGUGGACCAUUUUUUUGUGUGGUAGUUUUAAGUUAUUAGUUUUUAAAAAUCAGUACUUUUUGAUGGAAACAACAUGACCAAAAAUCUGUCACAGAAUUUUGAGACCCAUUAAAACAGUUUAAUGAGAAAAAAAAAAA